rnacentral:rRNA from 1 species
UAAUACAGAGGGUGCGAGCGUUAAUCGGAAUUACUGGGCGUAAAGGGCGCGUAGGUGGUUUAUUAAGAUUGAUGUGAAAUCCCUGGGCUUAACCUAGGAACGGCAUCGAAGACUGAUAGACUUGAGUACUGUAGAGGGUAGUGGAAUUUCCGGUGUAGCGGUGAAAUGCGUAGAGAUCGGAAGGAACACCAGUGGCGAAGGCGGCUACCUGGACAGAGACUGACACUGAGGCGCGAGAGCGUGGGGAGCAAACAGGAUUAGAUACCCUGGUAGUCCACGCUGUAAACGAUGAAGACUAGAUGUUGGACAGCGAGACUGUUUAGUAUCGAAGCAAACGCGAUAAGUCUUCCGCCUGGGGAGUACGGCCGCAAGGUUA